GUUGAAACACAGGUUCCCAUACAAUCACCGAAGUUAAGCAAUGUCGAACCUGGUUAUUACCUGGAUGGGUGACGGCUUUGGGAAUACCAGCUGCUGUAAG